rnacentral:rRNA from 1 species
AUUGAACGCUGGCGGCAUGCCUUACACAUGCAAGUCGAACGGUAACAGGUCUUCGGAUGCUGACGAGUGGCGAACGGGUGAGUAAUACAUCGGAACGUGCCUAGUAGUGGGGGAUAACUACUCGAAAGAGUGGCUAAUACCGCAUGAGAUCUACGGAUGAAAGCAGGGGAUCGCAAGGCCUUGUGCUACUAGAGCGGCCGAUGGCAGAUUAGGUAGUUGGUGGGAUAAAAGCUUACCAAGCCGACGAUCUGUAGCUGGUCUGAGAGGACGAUCAGCCACACUGAGACUGAGACACGGCCCAGACUCCUACGGGAGGCAGCAGGGGGGAAUUUUGGACAAUGGGCGCAAGCCUGAUCCAGCAAUGCCGCGUGCAGGAUGAAGGCCUUCGGGUUGUAAACUGCUUUUGUACGGAACGAAAAGCCCUGGGUUAAUACCCUGGGGUCAUGACGGUACCGUAAGAAUAAGCACCGGCUAACUACGUGCCAGCAGCCGCCGUAACAC